rnacentral:rRNA from 1 species
CCUACGGGUGGCAGCAGUGAGGAAUAUUGGUCAAUGGACGAGAGUCUGAACCAGCCAAGUAGCGUGAAGGAUGACUGCCCUAUGGGUUGUAAACUUCUUUUAUAUGGGAAUAAAAUGUUCCACGUGUGGGAUUUUGUAUGUACCAUAUGAAUAAGGAUCGGCUAACUCCGUGCCAGCAGCCGCGGUAAUACGGAGGAUCCGAGCGUUAUCCGGAUUUAUUGGGUUUAAAGGGAGCGUGGGUGGAUUGUUAAGUCAGUUGUGAAAGUUUGCGGCUCAACCGUAAAAUUGCAGUUGAAACUGGCAGUCGUGAGUACAGUAGAGGUGGGCGGAAUUCGUGGUGUAGCGGUGAAAUGCUUAGAUAUCACGAAGAACUCCGAUGGCGAAGGCAGCUCACUGGACUGCAACUGACACUGAGGCUCGAAAGUGUGGGUAUCAAACAGGAUUAGAUACCCUAGUAGUC